rnacentral:rRNA from 1 species
UAACGCGUGGGAAUCUGCCCCUUGCUUCGGAAUAACAGUUAGAAAUGACUGCUAAUACCGGAUGAUGACUUCGGUCCAAAGAUUUAUCGGCAAGGGAUGAGCCCGCGUAGGAUUAGGUAGUUGGUGGGGUAAAGGCCUACCAAGCCGACGAUCCUUAGCUGGUCUGAGAGGAUGAUCAGCCACACUGGAACUGAGACACGGCCCAGACUCCUACGGGAGGCACCAGUGGGGAAUAUUGGACAAUGGGCGAAAGCCUGAUCCAGCAAUGCCGCGUGAGCGAUGAAGGCC